AUCUAGCUGACGAGCCUCAAAUAAGACGAAAUGCGCGUCCUGAAU
rnacentral:hammerhead_ribozyme from 1 species